UCGGGCUUUCUGGCCAAGCCCGCCCACCAGAAAACCCACCUGAAUACCGAGGGGCGUCAACCAUUCCACAAAGCGGUCAUGCAACUGUUCGGCAAGGAUUUCCGUCGGCGCCAUCAGGGCUACCUGGUAAUUUUGCUCCACGGCCGUCAAUGCUGCCGCUGCGGCUACCAGCGUUUUGCCGGAGCCCACAUCGCCUUGCAACAAACGCCGCAUGGGCCGGGUCUGGGCCAUAUUCUGGUUAAUUUCCGCAAUAACCCGCU
rnacentral:sRNA from 1 species